rnacentral:rRNA from 1 species
GUAGAACGCUGGCGGCGUGCCUACUACAUGCAUGUCGAGCGGACCGACGGGAGCUUGCUCCCUUAGGUCAGCGGCGGACGGGUGAGUAACACGUGGGUAACCUGCCUGUAAGACUGGGAUAACUCCGGGAAACCGGGGCUAAUACCGGAUGCUUGAUUGAACCGCAUGGUUCAAUCAUAAAAGGUGGCUUUUAGCUACCACUUACAGAUGGACCCGCGGCGCAUUAGCUAGUUGGUGAGGUAACGGCUCACCAAGGCGACGAUGCGUAGCCGACCUGAGAGGGUGAUCGGCCACACUGGGACUGAGACACGGCCCAGACUCCUACGGGAGGCAGCAGUAGGGAAUCUUCCGCAAUGGACGAAAGUCUGACGGAGCAACGCCGCGUGAGUGAUGAAGGUUUUCGGAUCGUAAAACUCUGUUGUUAGGGAAGAACAAGUACCGUUCGAAUAGGGCGGCACCUUGACGGUACCUAACCAGAAAGCCACGGCUAACUACGUGCCAGCAGCCGCGGUAAUACGUAGGUGGCAAGCGUUGUCCGGAAUUAUUGGGCGUAAAGCGCGCGCAGGCGGUUUUCUUAAUUCUGAUGUGAAAGCCCCCGGCUCACCGGGGGAGGGUCAUUGGAAACUGGGGAACUUGAGUGCAAAAAGGAGAGGAUUCCCCGUGAGGCGUGAAUUUCG